rnacentral:rRNA from 1 species
GCACAAGCAGUGGAGUAUGUGGUUUAAUUCGAAGCAACGCGAAGAACCUUACCAGGUCUUGACAUCGUAUGCAUAGUCUAGAGAUAGAUGAAAUCCCUUCGGGGACAUAUAGACAGGUGGUGCAUGGUUGUCGUCAGCUCGUGUCGUGAGAUGUUGGGUUAAGUCCCGCAACGAGCGCAACCCUUACCUUUAGUUGCUACGCAAGAGCACUCUAGAGA